ACGUUUAUGCCUUAAACUUAUGAGUAAGGAAAAUAACGAUUCGGGGUGACGCCCGAAUCCUCACUGCUAAUGUGAGACGAAUUUUUGAGCGGGUAAAGGUUGCCCCUACGGUGACUCGCCUACUUUGCGGGAUGCCUGGGAGUUGCGAUCUGCCCGUACCUCUUGCAUCUAAAAAGCAGAAUAUAGUAAUUUAACUGAGGAAAACGAAGAAGGAAAUUAAGGAGAUUUUGGAGUGCGCCGUUGUUAAGUAACGGGGUGGUCAAACUUCACGGUAUUGUCGGGGAUUGUUAACCCGUAGAGCUGUCAAGGUUGGGUUUAGUUAAUAUAGUCAGUUUUGUUGGGGCAUAUUAAUUGUAGUAACGGAGAGUGUUAUUAGUUCGUUCUUUGGGGGCGAUAAUGUACUGCACACAGGAGGCUCGUUAUGUGGUCUAUAAUGCGGUGCUCAUGUACCACAGCUCACAUUUCCGAGCAGUAGAAUCUUUACAACGAAAUGUUUUCGCCUUCCUGACCUGUAAAAUGGGGCAAAUAAGCUAGAUCGCUGCGAGCGUCAAAUGGAGUGUUCCGAAUGUGGAAGUUUUUCACUGGUAUAAUUUCAGUCUCCAGCACUGAUCCUGGCGUCAGGUUCAGUAUGUCGAACCAAUGAAUGAAGAAUACAACAACAGCAAGAAACGGAAUUCCUGGGCGGUCUAGUGAUGAGGUCUGCGCGGUUCUGCUUCCGCGGGCCCGGGGUCAGAUCCCUGGUCGCGGAAGUAAGACCUCCGCCUGCCGCCCGGUGUGGCCAAAACAACACCAACAACAGAAAAACAGAAACAUAAAGACUAAAGGUGCAACGCCCUUAGAGCAGUGCCGAACAUAUAGACUAAGUGUUCUAUGAAUCACUACUGUAAGUACAACGCCGCGAGUGGAGUUGUGUGUUCUUGAGAGAACAUAACACCACAGUUGAAAACCUGGCAUCAGAAAGGAUUGGAGAGACGAGCUAGUGAAGACUGGGAACCAGACCGAGGAGGGAAAUCCAGGGUCCCGCCUGCGCAACCGUGAUUGGGUGCUGGCUCGCCCUCCUUUCCUCAGCCGUGAAACAGGACUAUUAACGCCUCCCUGCCGUGGGUGCCGGGAAAGAACGCGGAAACCAGGAACCAGCCGCGGGCCGGCUGUACAGCGGAGGGCAGACGGGGACAGGCACCAGGAGCCCGAAUGUGUGUCAAGUGCUCAGCAGAGCCCUCAGCAGACAGUAGGUGUGGAGAAGAGCCAUCAGGGCCUGAGAGGCCCAGGCUGAGUCCUGCCCCUGCCCACUGAGGAGUCCCAGCCCUGCUCCAGGAUGUGUGAGGGCCAGAGACAGAAUGGAAGGUAUCUACCAUAAAAGAAGUCAUCAGAAAGGAGGGUGAAGGACUGCCCUGCUGGCGCAGUGCUUAAGAAUCCACCUGCCAGUGCAGGGGACACGGGUUCGAGCCCUGGUCUGGGAAGAUCCCACAUGCCGCGGAGCAACUAAGCCCGUGCACCACAACUACUGAGCCUGCGCUCUACAGCCCACGAGCCACAACUACUGAGCCCACGUGCCUAGGGCCCGUGCUCCAUGACAAGAGAAGCCACUGCAAUGAGAAGCCUAUGCACCGCAACGAAGAGUAGCCCCCACUCGCCACAACUAGAGAAAACCCACAAGCAGCAACGAAGACCCAAUGCAGCCAAAAGUAAAAAUAAAUUAAAAAAAAAAAAAAAAAGAGGGUGAACAUGGCCACUGUUAUUUACAAAAUCCGCAAACUGUGAACAGCCUAACUGUCC